rnacentral:rRNA from 1 species
CCUACGGGGGGCAGCAGUGGGGAAUAUUGGACAAUGGGGGGAACCCUGAUCCAGCCAUGCCGCGUGUGUGAAGAAGGCCCUCGGGUUGUAAAGCACUUUCAGUGAGGAAGAACGCCUGGUGGUUAAUACCCAUCAGGAAAGACAUCACUCACAGAAGAAGCACCGGCUAACUCCGUGCCAGCAGCCGCGGUAAUACGGAGGGUGCGAGCGUUAAUCGGAAUUACUGGGCGUAAAGCGCGCGUAGGUGGCUUGAUAAGCCGGUUGUGAAAGCCCCGGGCUCAACCUGGGAACGGCAUCCGGAACUGUCAAGCUAGAGUGCAGGAGAGGAAGGUAGAAUUCCCGGUGUAGCGGUGAAAUGCGUAGAGAUCGGGAGGAAUAACAGUGGCGAAGGCGGCCUUCUGGACUGACACUGACACUGAGGUGCGAAAGCGUGGGUAGCAAACAGGAUUAGAUACCCCAGUAGUC